GCGAAUGUAAAGCAAUUAAGUUAUAUUAACUUUGCAUUCACUUAUAUUACACACGAUUUGAUAGCUUAAAAAUAUUGGUGUCGACUUUUUAAAAAGAUUUUUACAGAUAUAGUUCAAAAAUAUAAAGUUUAAAAAAAAAUGCGCUUUGUUAUACUUAUGCUCUUGGUUUCACUUCUUAAUUUCGAAUACGUCCAAAGUAUGGUUGAUAAAACUUGGAAAGUUUUAAAGAAAGAGGAAAGUUACAAAAGAGCGGCCGAAAUAGUUGUUAACAAAUUGACAUCAAAAGUAAUGAACAUGAUAAAUGAUGUGGAACUGUUAGAUGAUUAAUAAAGAAGAAAGCAUAUGCAAAACCAAAAUAUCAGUUUAACUACUAUUUUUAAUUUUUAUGUUUACAUAAAAACUUAAAAAGAGUAAAAAUAAACUUAUCUGCAAAAAAAAACAGGCACUAAAAUGUUUAAACUGUUUGAUUAAGAAAAGAAAUUUUCAUGUGA